rnacentral:rRNA from 1 species
UACAGAGGGUGCAAGCGUUGUUCGGAAUUAUUGGGCGUAAAGCGCGUGUAGGCGGCUUGGCAAGUCGGGUGUGAAAGCCCUCAGCUCAACUGAGGAAGUGCGCCCGAAACUGCUGAGCUCGAGUGCCGGAGAGGGUGGCGGAAUUCCCCAAGUAGAGGUGAAAUUCGUAGAUAUGGGGAGGAACACCGGUGGCGAAGGCGGCCACCUGGACGGUCACUGACGCUGAGACGCGAAAGCGUGGGGAGCGAACAGG